rnacentral:tRNA from 1 species
AUGAAAUUCCUCUAUCCCCA